AUACGUAGGGGGCGAGCGUUGUCCGGAAUGACUGGGCGUAAAGGGUACGUAGGCGGCCAGGUAAGUCAGAUGUGAAAGGCAUAGGCUCAACCUGUGUAAGCAUUUGAAACUGUCUGGCUUGAGUUAAGGAGAGGAAAGUGGAAUUCCUGGUGUAGCGGUGAAAUGCGUAGAUAUCAGGGGGAAUACCAGUGGCGAAGGCGACUUUCUGGACUUAAACUGACGCUGAGGUACGAAAGCGUGGGGAGCAAACAGGAUUAGAUACCCUGGUAGUCCACGCCGUAAACGAUGAGUGCUAGGUGUCGGGGGGUUAGACCUCGGUGCCGGAGUUAACACAUUAAGCACUCCGCCUGGGGAGUACGUUCGCAAGAAUGAA
rnacentral:rRNA from 1 species